GGCGGCGAUCGUCCGAUCAGUCCUGCGACGCCGACUGGAAGAUGAGGAACGCGGUGGCGACGCCGACCACCCCGGUGAGCGCCAGCGCCACCGUCGGCACCGGCGACGUCAGCCCCACGUUCUGGAGCACGCCUUUGCCGGUGGUCAGCUCGACGGUGAUGGCGGCGACGAAGCCGAGCAUGGCGCCGCGGCUGAGCCACAC
rnacentral:misc_RNA from 1 species